CCAAACAAGAAAUGAAUUUUCAUAUAUGGUUUCGACCCAUAAUUAGGUAUAAAAUUACCCUUGUU
rnacentral:tRNA from 1 species